CAGUAGCCGCGGGAAUACGUAGGUGGCAAGCGUUGUCCGGAAUUAUUGGGCGUAAAGGGCUCGCAGGCGGUUUCUUAAGUCUGAUGUGAAAGCCCCCGGCUCAACCGGGGAGAGUCAUUGGAAACUGGGAAACUUGAGUGCGGAAGAGGAGAGUGGAAUUCCACGUGUAGCGGUGAAAUGCGUAGAGAUGUGGAGGAACACCAGUGGCGAAGGCGACUCUCUGGUCUGUAACUGACGCUGAGGAGCGAAAGCGUGGGGAGCGAACAGGAUUAGAUACCCGCGUAGUCCCUGUCUCUUAUAC
rnacentral:rRNA from 1 species